rnacentral:ncRNA from 2 species
UUCGCCAAGCAGGGGUGCCUGAAUUCAGGCUGAGAAAGGCCAGUACCGCCUUACCCUUUGAACCUGCUCUGGUUAGUACCAGCGUAGGGAGCUUGUAUUGACUAAUA